rnacentral:misc_RNA from 1 species
AAUGUUUCAUACUAUAAAUUUAACUAAAAAAAAAAGGCAUCAAAGAUCAAACAUAAUAUUCUUCAACAAAUAAUCCAAAAAUCCAAAAACGAAAAUAAAUAACUCACCUUUUGGAAGAUAUAGACAUGUAGAAUUAGAAAGAUAGUUGAUGAUCUUUGCUCAAGAGACAAGUGAAAGAUUUGUGGAAAGAUAGAAAAGUUUGGAUGAAAAUUUGAGAGAGAGUGAGACACAAUAGCUUCAAAACUCCCCAAACUAGCAACAGUUGGGCCCCCAUCUUGCUUAAAAAAAUAAGUUAGGUUAUGGACUAUUACCGUUACUUAACGGUAAAUAAUGGCCAUUACCAUUAUGUAAUUGUUGUUACAGGAAUUUUUUUUGCGUUUUCAAAUAACAAGUGUCAUAGUAACGGGAUGGGAGGCCAAAAGGCCUAUAAAUAACAACUGUUACAUUGGAUAACAGCCGUUAUUUAAUGAAAGAAGUAUACUAGAGAUGGACAUUCUUAAGAAUACACAAAUAAUAAAACAAAUAAAAUACUAAUGGAACAAUAGACAAUUAAAAUAAGAAAACCAUUAUCUAUAGGAAAAAAGAAAAAGAAAAACUUAAAGAGAAUAUACCAAAAAUACAAUGUGUAUAGGAGUGUCAAUUGAAACUGUCAAAGUAUAGUUAUUAAAGGCUC